rnacentral:rRNA from 1 species
UACAGAGACCUCAAGCGUUAUCCGGAAUCAUUGGGCGUAAAGCGUGCCGAUAGGUGGUUUUAUUAGUCUUGGGUAAAAGCCAGAAGCUUAACUUCUGAGUUUGCUUAAGAUACUGUAAAACUAGAGGGGCAAAGAGGUGCUUGGAACGAAUGGUGUAGUAGUGAAAUGCGUUGAUAUCAUUCGGAACACCGAAAGCGAAGGCAGAGCACUGGGUGCCACCUGACACUGCUAGGACGAAAGCGUGGGGAGCGAACAGG